rnacentral:rRNA from 1 species
UACGUAGGGGGGCUAGCGUUGUCCGGAUUUAUUGGGCGUAAAGAGCGUGUAGGCGGCCAGGUAGGUCUGGUGUGAAAACUCGAGGCUUAACCUCGAGAUGUCAUCGGAAACCAUUUGGCUAGAGUCCGGAAGAGGAGAGUGGAAUUCCUGGUGUAGCGGUGAAAUGCGCAGAUAUCAGGAAGAACACCAAUGGCGAAAGCAGCUCUCUGGGACGGUACUGACGCUGAGACGCGAAAAGCGUGGGGGAGCGAACAGG